rnacentral:rRNA from 1 species
UACGGAGGGUGCAAGCGUUGUUCGGAUUUAUUGGGCGUAAAGCGCGUGUAGGCGGUCUCUUAAGUCUGAUGUGAAAGCCCCGGGCUCAACCCGGGAAGUGCAUUGGAUACUGGGAGACUUGAAUACGGGAGAGGGUAGUGGAAUUCCUAGUGUAGGAGUGAAAUCCGUAGAUAUUAGGAGGAACACCGGUGGCGAAGGCGGCUACUUGGACCGAUAUUGACGCUGAGACGCGAAAGCGUGGGGAGCAAACAGG